rnacentral:rRNA from 1 species
UUGCACGCUGGCGGCAGGCCUCACCCCUGCAAGUCGAGCGGAUGAAGGGAGCUUGCUCCUGGAUUCAGCGGCGGACGGGUGAGUAAUGCCUAGGAAUCUGCCUGGUAGUGGGGGAUAACGUCCGGAAACGGGCGCUAAUACCGCAUACGUCCUGAGGGAGAAAGUGGGGGAUCUUCGGACCUCACGCUAUCAGAUGAGCCUAGGUCGGAUUAGCUAGUUGGUGGGGUAAAGGCCUACCAAGGCGACGAUCCGUAACUGGUCUGAGAGGAUGAUCAGUCACACUGGAACUGAGACACGGUCCAGACUCCUACGGGAGGCAGCAGUGGGGAAUAUUGGACAAUGGGCGAAAGCCUGAUCCAGCCAUGCCGCGUGUGUGAAGAAGGUCUUCGGAUUGUAAAGCACUUUAAGUUGGGAGGAAGGGCAGUAAGUUAAUACCUUGCUGUUUUGACGUUACCAACAGAAUAAGCACCGGCUAACUUCGU